GUCCAAAGCCCACCAGAUAAAACCCUGGGACACGAACUCUUGUAUGGUGAAAGGGCAGUGGGUGAGGCUCAGCUUCAGUGUGGUGGGCCCUCAGGAGCUUGAUGCCCCCCUGCAGAAAAGAAGGGAAGACUGCAAAGGCUUCACCAACAUGGAGGCUGCACCUACAGAGACCACAGACGCAGGAGACGCACAAAGGGAACCAAGCUGCACUCCAUUCAACCAUAUUCAUUGUAACUAGUGUGAUGCAGAGCUCCCUCUAGUGGAAAAAGGUGAUGUAACGCAUCGUCCUGCAGAAGGGAUCGGUCGCGGUGAUUCUGUAAGAUGCUACUGGGACUGGCACAGUGAUUCCGCGUGGAAGCCUGGGCCAGUGGGUACACGCAAAUCAGCCCCAGCGCAUGGAUCCACAGCGUGUACAACUGAAAAUCGAUGGAUGCAAUCAGAUGCUGCCCCUUGGAUUCUGCAGCGAUAUUUCUGUCGCA